CGAUGAACGCGGGCGGCAGGCSUAMCAUGCAGUCGARCGGUAACAGGAAGCWCUUGCUGCUUYGCUGACSAGUGGCGGACGGGUGAGUAAUGUCUGGGAAWCUGCCUGAUGGAKGGGGAUAACUACUGGAAACGGUAGCUAAUACCGCAUAACGUCGCAAGACCAAAGAGGGGGAYCUUCGGGCCUCUUGCCAUCGGAUGUGCCCAGAUGGGAUUAGCUAGUGGUGGGGUAACGGCUCRCCUAGGCGACGAUCCCUAGCUGGUCUGAGAGGAUGACCAGCCACACUGGAACUGAGACACGGUCCAGACUCCUACGGGAGGCRGCAGUGGGGAAUAUUGCACAAUGGGCGCAAGCCUGAUGCASCCAUGCCGCGUGUAUGAAGAAGGYCUUCGGGUUGUAAAGUACUUUCAGCGGGGAGGAAGGCGAUAAGGUUAAUAMCCUUGUCSAUUGACGUUACCCGCAGAASAAGCACCGGCUAACUCCGUGCCAGCAGCCGCGGUAAUACGGAGGGUGCAAGCGUUAAUCGGAAUUACUGGGCGUAAAGCGCACGCAGGCGGUCUGUCAAGUCGGAUGUGAAAUCCCCGGGCUCAACCUGGGAACUGCAUUCGAAACUGGCAGGCUAGAGUCUUGUAGAGGGGGGUAGAAUUCCAGGUGUAGCGGUGAAAUGCGUAGAGAUCUGGAGGAAYACCGGUGGCGAASGCGGCCCCCUGACAAAGACUGACGCUCAGGUGCGAAAGCGUGGGGAGCAGACAGUUA
rnacentral:rRNA from 2 species